GUUCGUAGUGACUGCGGAGGAUCAUUAGUGAAUUGAGCUGGCUUCGGCCGCUCUGAUCUAUACACACCUGUGAACUGUUGGCCUUCGGGUCUUUAAUUACAACUGUGACGAACGUAAAUUAUUAUAACAAAUAAAACUUUUAACAACGGAUCUCUUGGCUCUCGCAUCGAUGAAGAACGCAGCGAAAUGCGAUAAGUAAUGUGAAUUGCAGAAUUCAGUGAAUCAUCGAAUCUUUGAACGCACCUUGCGCCCGUUGGUAUUCCGACGGGCAUGCCUGUUUGAGUGUCGUGAACAACCUCAACCUUGAUUGGUUUUACUAAUCAAGGCUUGGACUUGGGUGUUGCUGCUGCAAAGUGGCUCGCCUUAAAACUAUUAGCUGGACUUGUCUAUGACUUGGUUCGACUCGAUGUAAUAAGUAUUCAUCGGGGACAGGGUAACACCUGGCCAAGGCUUGAUGCCGUCUGCUUCUAAUCAUGUUCUCACUAUGAGACGCUACUUUACUGUGUGGCCUCAAAUCAGGUAGGAUUACCCGCUGAACUUAAGCAUAUCAAUAAGCGGAGGAAAAGAAACUAACAAGGAUUCCCCUAGUAACGGCGAGUGAAGCGGGAUGAGCUCAAAUUUGUAAUCUGGUGGACUCAGUUCAUCCGAAUUGUAAUCUAUAGAAAAGUUUUCCGCGCUGGACCGUGUCUAAGUCCCUUGGAACAGGGUGUCAGAGAGGGUGAGAAUCCCGUGCUUGAUACGACCACCAGUGCUAUGUGAUACUUUUUCAACGAGUCGAGUUGUUUGGGAAUGCAGCUCAAAAUGGGUGGUAAAUUCCAUCUAAAGCUAAAUAUUGGCGAGAGACCGAUAGCGAACAAGUACCGUGAGGGAAAGAUGAAAAGCACUUUGGAAAGAGAGUUAAACAGUACGUGAAAUUGUUAAAAGGGAAACGAUUGAAGUCAGUCGUGCUCUCUAGGACUCAGCCAGUUCUUCUGGUGUAUUUCCUAGUGAGCGGGUCAACAUCAGUUUAGAUCGCUGGAUAAGGUCAUUAGGAAUGUGGCUCCCUCGGGAGUGUUAUAGCCUAGUGUCGCAUACAGUGGUUUAGACUGAGGAACGCAGCUCGCCUUUAUGGCCGGGGUUCGCCCACGUCCGAACUUAAGAAUGUUGACAUAAUGGGCUUUAAACGACCCG
rnacentral:rRNA from 1 species